UAAGACAUGCAAGUCGAACGGAAGUCGUUAUAAUGAUUUUGAUUUAGAUUGAAGAUUCGUCUGAUAUGAAGAAGAUGAUGACUUAUAACAAUGGCUUUAGUGGCGGACUGGUGAGUAACGCGUAAGCAAUCUGCCUAUUAGAGGGGAAUAACAGUGAGAAAUCACUGCUAAUACCGCAUAUGCCAUAGUUAUCACAUGAUAGUAGUGGGAAAGGAGUAAUCCGCUAAUAGAUGAGCUUGCGUCUGAUUAGCUAGUUGGUGGGGUAACGGCCUACCAAGGCGACGAUCAGUAGCCGGACUGAGAGGUUGAACGGCCACAUUGGGACUGAGAUACGGCCCAGACUCCUACGGGAGGCAGCAGUCGGGAAUAUUGCGCAAUGGAGGAAACUCCUGACGCAGUGACGCCGCGUAUAGGAUGAAGGUUUUCGGAUUGUAAACUAUUGUCGUUAGGGAAGAUAAAAGACAGUACCUAAGGAGGAAGCUCCGGCUAACUACGUGCCAGCCGCCGC
rnacentral:rRNA from 1 species